CACAACAUGACCUUUUAACUUUAGGCCCCAACGGGUUCUGUGGUUUGCAUGCAGCCUGGAGUCCUUUUGAGAAACUUUUGUUGAAAAUGUGUGGAGAUCUGAGGAAAUGAAACAGAAUUUCAAAGGUCUUCCCAUCUUUGUUUCCUCGAAGAGGCAAUGUGAAGAAAAGGACAGUGGUGACAAGAUGGAGCCUCGUUUUGCUGCCUAGGCCGGAGUGCAGUGGCACAAUCUCGGCUCACUGCAACGCCCGCCUCCAGGGUUCAAGUGAUUCUCCUGCCUCAGCCUCCCAAAUAGCUGGGACUACAGGCACGCACUACCUUGUCCAGCUAAUUUUUGUAUUUUUAGUAGAGACGGGGUUUCACCAUGUUGGUCAGGCUGGUCUUGAAUUCCCGACCUCGUGAUCCAGAUGCCUCGGCUCCCCAAGGUGCGGGGAUUACAGGCGUGAGCCACUGUGCCCGGACUGAAACUGAUUUUGAACUUCUGUCUUCAGAAUUGUAUGCGAAUAAAUGUGUGUUCUUUUAAGCCAUCAAG
rnacentral:lncRNA from 10 species